AAGGGAGCGUAGGCGGCUGAUUAAGUCAGCGGUGAAAGGUAGCAGCUUAACUGUUUUACAUGCCGUUGAUACUGGUUAGCUUGAGUUGACAGAAGGCAGAUAGAAUUCCUGGUGUAGCGGUGAAAUGCUUAGAUACCAGGAGGAAUACCGAUUGCGAAGGCAGUCUGCUGCAGUCACACUGACGCUGAGGCUCGAAGGUGCGGGGAGCAAACAGGAUUAGAUACCCGGGU
rnacentral:rRNA from 1 species